GAUGAACGCUGGCGGCGUGCUUAACACAUGCAAGUCGAACGGUGAAGGCGGAGCUUGCUCUGCUGGAUCAGUGGCGAACGGGUGAGUAACACGUGAGCAAUCUGCCCCUGACUCUGGGAUAAGCGCUGGAAACGGCGUCUAAUACUGGAUACGAGCUGCGAAGGCAUCUUCAGCGGCUGGAAAGAAUUUCGGUCAGGGAUGAGCUCGCGGCCUAUCAGCUUGUUGGUGAGGUAAUGGCUCACCAAGGCGUCGACGGGUAGCCGGCCUGAGAGGGUGACCGGCCACACUGGGACUGAGACACGGCCCAGCCUCCUACGGGAGGCAGCAGUGGGGAAUAUUGCACAAUGGGCGAAAGCCUGAUGCAGCAACGCCGCGUGAGGGACGACGGCCUUCGGGUUGUAAACCUCUUUUAGCAGGGAAGAAGCGAAAGUGACGGUACCUGCAGAAAAAGCGCCGGCUAACUACGUG
rnacentral:rRNA from 1 species